GCACUUGUCUCAGCAGCACAUUACCUCCACAGCCCACAUAUGCACCACUUCCAAUCAGUAAAACAAUAAAUUCCUUUCAGUCUCCUGUGGCAACACUUCCUGAGACAUUUUACAGAGCAAAGUAGAUGGAGCAUGUAACUCUUGAUUAAUGAUGAACCACUGUCACUUUUUGGGGUGGCAAGCUUUAAAAGGAAAGUGUUAAAGAGCCCUGGUCACAGAAAGGCUUCUGUGAACAUGACCCAUUGUCCCAGGGUUUUCUUGAAGCUCGGUAGGAUAAUUCCGAUUCAGGAAAGGAGAAGUUGCCUCUUGUCAUUCAAGGAUUCUUUAUCUUUACUUUUUGUGAUUUAGGUGCCAACUAAAUAUUAUCUGCCCAUGUAUUUAAUGGCCUCGAGACCAAUCACAUGCCCUUUUUUUCUAUCCAAGAAUCUUUGCAAUCUCAUUAGUUUAUCUUAAAAAAAAAACCUUAAUAGCUGUAUUUUAGUGCACACAGGGUUUAACCUGAUGUGUGUAUAUAUUUUUGCAACUUCAAUAUUAAGUGAAAGAAAGCAAAAAUAUUCACAAGAAUC
rnacentral:lncRNA from 1 species